ensembl:lncRNA
AUGGGGUCCUGGAAGGAGCCCACCCCUACAUGCCAGCGCACACGUGUGCGCACACACAGACACACACAGGCUCACACACACACACGGGCUGACAUACACAGGCUCUCACUUGCGCGCACACACACACACACACACACACGGGCUCUCACCCAUACAGACACAUGCAGGCUCUUACACAUGCAGACACACACACGGGCUCUCACACACACAGGCUCACACACACAUGGGCUCUCACAUACACACAUAUAUGGUCUCUCACACACGGGCUCACAUGCACACACACACACACGCUCUUACACACACCCCAUGGGCUCUCACACACACCCCACGGGCUCUCACACACACACAGGCUCACACACACAUGGGCUUUCACACAUACACAUACACAUACGGUCUCUCACAAACACACGGGCUCACACACACACAGGCUCACGUGCACACACACACACACAGGCUUACACACACACCCCAUGGGCUCUCACACACACACAGGCUUACACACACACACAGGCUUACACACACACACACCCACAGGCUCUCACACACACACAGGCUCACACACACACACACAUACGGUCUCUCUCACAAACACACGGGCUCACACACACACAGGCUCUCACGUGCACACACACACACACACACACACACACCCCAUGGGCUCUCACACACACACAGGCUUACACACACACACACGGGCUCUUACACACACACACACCCCAGGCUCUCACACACACACAGGCUCACACACACACACGCACAUACGGUCUCACACACAUACACGGGCUCACACACAGGCUCUCACAUGCACACACACACAUAUGGGCUCUCUCACACUCACACACACACACACACACACGGGCUCUCACCCAUACAGACACAUGCAGGCUCUUACACAUGCAGACACACACACGGGCUCUCACACACACACAGGCUCACACACACACAUGGGCUCUCACACAUACACACAUAUGGUCUCUCACACACGGGCUCACAUGCACACACACACACACGCUCUUACACACACACCCCAUGGGCUCACACACACACCCCACGGGCUCUCACACACACACACAGGCUCACACACACAUGGGCUUUCACACAUACACAUACACAUACGGUCUCUCUCACAAACACACGGGCUCACACACACAGGCUCUCACGUGCACACACACACACACACAGGCUUACACACACACACCCCAUGGGCUCUCACACACACACACAGGCUUACACACACACGGGCUCUUACACACACACACACACACCCACAGGCUCUCACACACACACAGGCUCACACACACACACACGCACAUACGGUCUCACACACAUACAGGCUCACACACACAGGCUCUCACAUGCACACACACACAUAUGGGCUCUCUCACACUCACACACACACACACACACACACACAGGCUCUCACCCAUACAGACACAUGCAGACACACACAGGCUUUCACACAUACACACACACACGGGCUCUCUCUCACACACAUACACACCGGCCCUGCGCCCCCCCGCCGCCACCCACACACACAUGGGCUCUCCCACGUCUGCACACUGGACCCCGAGCCCUGUGGAGGUGGCUGAGGGCUGUGAGGUGGCUGGGCUGGUGGAUGAGUGGCCCGGCCCGAGCUGGGGAGCGGGGCCUGGAGCUCCUGCCCGCUGGGGUGUGUGUGGGGAGCCUGGGAGCUCCCUGGCAGGGUGGGGCAGCUGGAACUCAGGGGCCCUGCUGCUGGGGCAGCUCAGGGCCUGUGCAGGCUCCGGCCCUGCACUCUUGCCCAGCCAGAGUGUGCGAGCUGUGGGAGCCUGCCAACCACAUCUGUGA